rnacentral:rRNA from 1 species
CACGUGGGUAACCUGCCCAGAAGUAGGGGAUAACACCUGGAAACAGAUGCUAAUACCGUAUAACAGAGAAAACCGCAUGGUUUUCUUUUGAAAGAUGGCUCUGCUAUCACUUCUGGAUGGACCCGCGGCGUAUUAGCUAGUUGGUGAGGUAAAGGCUCACCAAGGCAGUGAUACGUAGCCGACCUGAGAGGGUAAUCGGCCACAUUGGGACUGAGACACGGCCCAGACUCCUACGGGAGGCAGCAGUAGGGAAUCUUCCACAAUGGACGCAAGUCUGAUGGAGCAACGCCGCGUGAGUGAAGAGAGGUUUCGGCUCGUAAAGCUCUGUUGUUAAGAAGAACGUGGGUAAGAGUAACUGUUUACCCAGUGACGGUAUUUAACCAGAAAGCCACGGCUAACUACGUGCCAGCAGCCGCGGUAAUACGUAGGUGGCAAGCGUUAUCCGGAUUUAUUGGGCGUAAGCGAGUGCAGCCGUUCUUUUAAGUUCUAAUGUGUGAAAAGGCCUUCGGCUCAACCGAAGAUGUGCAUUGGGAAACUGGGAGACUUUGAGUGCAGAAGAGGACAGUGGAACUCAUGUGUAGCGGUGAAAUGCGUAGAUAUAUGGAAAGAACACCAGUGGCGAUGGCGGCUGUCUGGUCUGCAACUGACGCUGAGGCUCGAAAGCAUGGGUAGCGAACAGGAUUAGAUACCCUGGUAGUCCAGCCGUAAA